CGCAUCGAUGAAGAACGCAGCGAAUUGCGAUAAGUAAUGUGAAUUGCAGAAAUACGUGAAUCAUCGAAUCUUUGAACGCAUAUUGCACUCUCUGGUAAUCCGGAGAGUAUGCCUGUUUGAGGGUCAGUAAACAAACAUUAUCAUAAAUCAUUGAUUUAUGGAAUUGGGCAUUUAUUUCAAUAUACAAGAUUUAUUGCCUUAAAUUUACGUCGUUAUGAAAUUCUCUCUAAAUGGAGCAAUUAAACAUUCUCGUUUGGUUGGGACAUUUCAUUUACAAAAACUAUUACGAUUUYCACGCGCAAAGACGCUUUUAACAAAGUGGUCUCAGCUACGAUCGUAAGUUAAUUUAACAAAGACCUCAAAUCAGGCAAGAAUACCCGCUGAACUUAAGCAUAUCAAUAAGCGGAGGAAAAGAAACUAACAAGGAUUCCCCUAGUAACGGCGAGUGAAGAGGGAAGAGCUCAAAUUUUAAAUCUAUCUUGUUCUUCAAGGUCGAGUUGUAAUUUGAAGAAGCGUUUUCUUGGAUUUGCAGCCGGUAGAAGUUCCUUGGAACAGGACAUCAUUGAGKGUGACAAUCCCGUCUGUGACCGGUUGCUCGUUCAUCUAUGAUACGCUUUCAAAGAGUCGAGUUGUUUGGGAUUGCAGCUCCAAAUGGGUGGUAAACAUCACCUAAGGCUAAAUAUUGGCGAGAGACCGAUAGCGAACAAGUACCGUGAGGGAAAGAUGAAAAGAACUUUGAAAAGAGAGUUAAAUAGUACGUGAAAUUGUUGAAAGGGAAACGAUUGAAGUCAGUCGUGCUGGCGCGUAAUCAGCCUACGAUUUGUCAAACAAGUAGUGUGGGUGAGCCUCAAAACCGCCAUAUUAUUUGUCUGGUUAAUCGUCGGUGCACUUUCGUGUCGGCUGGUUAACAUCAAUUUCAAAUGUCAUAAAAAGGCUGGAGGGAUGUGGCUCCUUCGGGAGUGUUAUAACCUUUAGCGGAAUGUGGUGUUUGGGAUUGAGGAUUGCAACGAAUACCUUUAGGGCUGUUCCACCUGGUCUCUCUUUGGCAUCUUGGCGGCGACAGCUUGCUGACGUUGUUAAGAGUUGACAUUGAACAGGCUAGAGUGUGGGCAAAUUCGUUAAGGAUGUUAACGUAAUGGCUUUAAACGACCCGUCUUGAAACACGGACCAAGGAGUCUAACAUAUAUGCGAGUGUUC
rnacentral:rRNA from 1 species